UGAUGUCAUAUGCCUUGGACUCAACGAACGUUAUCGUUACACACUGGAUCGGAAAGUUAUGGUGAUCGGCACUGGUUUCAAACCUCUUUAAGCUUCAAGUUGGCUUUUGAAAGCAUCGUUGUUUUAGCCUACUUCAUCAACACCAUGAAAAGUGUACUGGAACUUGUGGUCUGCGUGAUUUGUUGAACUAGAAGACCAUGGAAAAAUGGCGGAGAUAUUCCCAAGUCACUUCUGAUUGUGCUGAGAGCUCAACAGUGCCAAACUUUGACAAAUUGACAUUCGCCAGUUGGCCUCAUUCAAUUCCAUUGCUGUCUGCCUAAUAAUGUCAGUGGGCAAUUACGACAAGGUCGAACCGGUGGUCUACUUCCUCAAGGAACCAUGGUGUUUUCAGGGAGGACUGUGGCCGUUUCUCCUCCUCAACCAGGUUUUUCAGGAGAGCACUGGUCACUCUACUAAAGACGUGCAUGGCAGGUUGGACACUGAAAUGGGAGUGGGUUGGCGGUCAUGAAGGAUAAAUGGGACCAAGGAUGCUGAGGACGAGAAAGGUGUGCGGUAGGAUGAAC